CCUCGCAGUCUCACUCGCGGGUGAGAUAAUCUGGUGGUUGUGGAGACGGGAUUUGUUGGUGGGUGUUCCUUGAGUGUAUGGAGCAGUCCUUUUGAUGGAGUCUUUAAUUUGGGGCGAAGUUUCUGGAAGCCCAUCCUUUCUACCAUCCCAAUAACUCUAAAGCUCGGGUUUCUGAAGGAUUUAAGAAAAAGCACAAAUUCAACAGAUAUUUAUCAAGUGUCUUCUAUGUGAUAUGGCUGAAAAUAGGAAUUUACAGCAUAGCAACAAAGAAUGAUAAAACAUCUAACUGUACUACGUGCUAAGUGCUGCAAAAGCAUAUGGCAAGCUCUGGAAUCAAGAAGUGAGCAGGCCAGAUGAGGAAACCUCCCCAAGAGGUUAAGUCGUUUGCCCAAAACUAGCAGUGGGAGAGUGGUGCAGCCAACAUUUGAACCUAGGUAGCCCGAAUACAGCAUCUACGCUCAAAUCUAUGGCAUCACAGAUGACCUGGUAGCUACCGUUCCCUGAAGGAGUUGAAGGAGCUUUUAUACAAGAGGUGGUACCUGAACUGGACCUUAGAGAGUCAGUAAAAUUCUACCAGAUAAAAAACAUAUACAAGUGUUAGUCCAGGCUGAGGUUUGUG